rnacentral:rRNA from 1 species
AACGAACGCUGGCGGCAUGCCUAACACAUGCAAGUCGAACGAGACCUUCGGGUCUAGUGGCGCACGGGUGCGUAACGCGUGGGAACCUGCCCUUAGGUUCGGAAUAACUCCCCGAAAGGGGUUCUAAUACCGGAUAAUGUCUUCGGACCAAAGAUUUAUCGCCUUUGGAUGGGCCCGCGUUGGAUUAGCUAGUUGGUAGGGUAAAAGCCUACCAAGGCGACGAUCCAUAGCUGGUCUGAGAGGAUGAUCAGCCACACUGGGACUGAGACACGGCCCAGACUCCUACGGGAGGCAGCAGUGGGGAAUAUUGGACAAGGGGCGAAAGCCUGAUCCAGCAAUGCCGCGUGAGUGAUGAAGGCCUUAGGGUUGUAAAGCUCUUUUACCCGGGAUGAUAAUGACAGUACCGGGAGAAUAAGCUCCGGCUAACUCCGUG